UCAGUGAUCAAGACUGUGCAGAGGACUUCUAGAAAUGAAAGGGUUUGCUCUUUCUUCUUCCAACAACGCCUGAGUUAAGACAGAUAAUCUGUAGACUGUUUUCUCCCAAGAUAUCAUUUACAAUGAAGAUCUUAGCCUUUUUCUCUAUUUUGUUCUUCUUUGGUGUCUACAUUCUACCAGUGUGUUCUCCCCAACGUGUUACCAGUCCUGUGAUACCAUUGCCAACUAGAUGCACAUUGAAUCUCAAAAAAUUACCCUCAAUGAGCAGUAAGUUUUCCACAAUAUUGGAAAGGGCACAAUACGGGACAGAAGAAAACAACACAGCCAGAAAUAAAGAGCAUAGUCUUUCCUUCGACCGGAGGAUUGCAUGUAAAUUGCUUGGUGGUUGUUGUAAACAACAGUGUGGGAAAGGUGAAUUCAGGUUGUCCUACUGUGCAAGACCUACGACUCCUUGCUGCUUGAUAGAAUGUGACCCUCUGGAUCCAAUGAACUGGAUACCAAAGAUAGACCUACCCAUGAGAUCUUACAGACCCAGAUAAUCCAUAUUUUUUCAGGCCUUUUUACUACUUGAUUUCUGGUUCUCCAUUGGACAUCCCCAACCUUCAUCGUCUCACCUCUCUUCAGGACCUCAGUGCAUUGGAUGCUGCCCACCCAGAUUGGUGACAGUAGAUCUUCUUUACUCAUUCUGCUAAUUCAAAUGUGAACCUCUUUCUGAAACAUCCUCACAGAAACACACCCCAAAAUGAUGUUCACCAACUAUUUGGACAUUCCUUAACCCAAUUAAUACGACACAUAAACUUAACCAUCACAAACAUAAGAUCUCAUUAGGGAAUUGCAAAUUAAAAUGACAAUGAGGUAUCACAUGUACCUGCUAGGAUGGCCAAAAGUCAAAACACUAACCACAUUGAAUGCUGACAAUGAUGUGGAGCAACAGUAACUCUCAUUGAUUUUGAUGGGCCAAAGAUGGUCCAGCCACUUUGAAAGAUAGUCUGGCAGUUUUAUAUACAACUAAACACACCUUUAACAUACAAUCCAACAAUCGUGUCCAUGGUAUUUACCCAAAUAAAUUGAAAAGUUAUGUCCAAAUAAAACUUUCAAAUGGA